rnacentral:rRNA from 1 species
GAUGAACGCUAGCGGCAGGCCUAACACAUGCAAGUCGAGGGAGAAGCCCUUUCGGGGGCAGAAACCGGCGCACGGGUGCGUAACGCGUAUGCAACCUACCUUUCACAGGGGGAUAGCCCGAAGAAAUUUGGAUUAAUACCCCAUAAUAUUAUUGGAUGGCAUCAUUUGAUAAUUAAAACUGCGAUGGUGAAAGAUGGGCAUGCGUCCUAUUAGCUAGUUGGAGUGGUAACGGCACCCCAAGGCUACGAUAGGUAGGGGUCCUGAGAGGGAGAUCCCCCACACUGGUACUGAGACAGGGACCAGACUCCUACGGGAGGCAGCAGUGAGGAAUAUUGGUCAAUGGUCGGAAGACUGAACCAGCCAUGCCGCGUGCAGGAAGAAUGCCUUAUGGGUUGUAAACUGCUUUUAUAUGGGAAGAAUAAGGUGUACGUGUACAUUGAUGACGGUACCAUAUGAAUAAGCAUCGGCUAACUCCGUG